ACUUCUGGAGUCCCAGCCCCAUUUCUGCACCGUUUGGCUCUGGGGACCAUGAGGUGGCGCAGUUACCCCGAAUAUCAGCCCGCAGCCGGCUGCACCCCGGCCAGGGAAUAGGUGAGGUUCUGCGGGACAGAAAUUAGCAACCAAGCGGAGUGUGCUCUGCUAUUAGCAAGUGUGUCGCUUGCCGAGAUCCCUUUCCUCUCCUUUUUUCUUUUUCAUAUAAGGCUUAAAAAAAA